rnacentral:rRNA from 1 species
AAUCUAUAGAGGCGUUUUCCGCGCCGGACCGCGUCCAAGUCUCUUGGAAUAGAGUAUCAAAGAGGGUGACAAUCCCGUACUUGACGCGACAACCGGUGCUCUGUGAUACGUUCUCAACGAGUCGAGUUGUUUGGGAAUGCAGCUCUAAAUGGGUGGUAAAUUCCAUCUAAGGCUAAAUAUUGGCGAGAGACCGAUAGCGAACAAGUACCGUGAGGGAAAGAUGAAAAGCACUUUGGAAAGAGAGUUAAACAGCACGUGAAAUUGUUAAAAGGGAAACGAUUGAAGUCAGUCGUGUGAAAGGUAUUCAGCCGUCUCUGGCGGUGUAUUUGCCUUUCACGGGUCAACAUCAGUUUAGUCCGGUAGAAAAAGGCUGGAGGAAGGUGGCACCCUCGGGUGUGUUAUAGCCUCCUGUCAUAUGUGCCGGAUUAGACUGAGGAACGCAGCUUGCAGCAAUGCCGGGGU